AUUGACGCUGGCGGCAGGCCUAACACAUGCAAGUCGAACGAGUGGCGGACGGGUGAGUAAUGUCUGGGAAACUGCCUGAUGGAGGGGGAUAACUACUGGAAACGGUAGCUAAUACCGCAUACCAUCGGAUGUGCCCAGAGGGGAUUAGCUAGUAGGUGGGGUAAAGGCUCACCUAGGCGACGAUCCCUAGCUGGUCUGAGAGGAUGACCAGCAACACUGGAACGGAGACACGGUCCAGAAGCCUACGGGAGGGAGCAGUGGGGAAUAUUGCACAAUGGGAGCAAGCCUGAUGCAGCGACGCCGCGUGGGGGAUGAAGGCUUUCGGGUUGGAAACCUAUGUCGCUAUCGAACGGGUAGGUGGAGAAGAAGCACCGGCUAACUCCGUGCCAGCAGCCGCGGUAAUAC
rnacentral:rRNA from 1 species